GUCCUGAGACUGAGAGUAGAAACCACAAUGGAUUUUCAGGUGCAGAUUUUCAGCUUCCUGCUACUCAGUGUCACAGUGUCCAAUGGAGAGAUUGUUCUCACCCAGUCUCCAGCAUCCAUGGCUGCAUCUCAAGGGGAGAGGGUUACCAUGACCUGUAGUGCCAGCUCAAGUAUAAGCACCAGUUAUUUGCACUGGUACCAGCAGAAGCCAGGAGGCUCCCCUAAGCUCCUGAUUUAUAGCACAUCCAACCUGGCUUCUGGAGUCCCAUCGAGGUUCAGUGGCAGUGGGUCUGGAACAUCCUACUCUCUCACAAUCAGCAGCAUGGAGGCUGAAGAUGCUGCCACUUACUACUGUCAGCAGUGGAGUACUAGCCCACCCACACAGUGCUACAGACUAGAACAAAAACACUUUACCUCCCUAGGGCCCAGCUGCUUCCUCCUAGUGUUGAAAUGUGGCCAAUGGUUUCAUGGCAAUAAUCCACACAGGGUGCUUUAUGCCCUGCUUUAUAAGGCCAGUUGCAUGUUUGGGUAA